AUUGAACGCUGGCGGCAGGCCUAACACAUGCAAGUCGAGCGGAUGAGUGGAGCUUGCUCCAUGAUUCAGCGGCGGACGGGUGAGUAAUGCCUAGGAAUCUGACCUGGUAGUGGGGGACAACGUUUCGAAAGGAACGCUAAUACCGCAUACGUCCUACGGGAGAAAGCAGGGGGGACCUUCGGGCCUUGCGCUAUCAGAUGAGCCUAGGUCGGAUUAGGCCUAGUAGGUGAGGUAAUGGCUCACCUAGGCGACGAUCCGUAACUGGUCUGAGAGGAUGAUCAGUCACACUGGAACUGAGACA
rnacentral:rRNA from 1 species